rnacentral:rRNA from 1 species
UACGGAGGGUGCAAGCGUUAUCCGGAUUUAUUGGGUUUAAAGGGUGCGCAGGCGGACCUAUUAGUCAGUGGUGAAAUCCCGGGGCUCAACCACGGAACUGCUAUUGAUACUGUUAUUCUUGAAUAUAGUUGAAGUAGGCGGAAUACGACAUGUAGCGGUGAAAUGCAUAGAUAUGUCGUGGAACACCGAUCGCGAAGGCAGCUUACUAAGCUAUUAUUGACGCUGAGGUACGAAAGCGUGGGGAGCGAACAGG